rnacentral:rRNA from 1 species
UUGGGGUUGCGGACAUAUCAUAACGAAGAGGUAUCGUAAUUGAAGAGGUUUGGAAAGACCCACCACAGAAGGUAAUAGUCCUGUAUGUUAAACGAGAAGACUUUAGAUAUGAUCCAGAGUACCACGGGACACGUGAAACCCUGUGGGAAGCAGGAGGGACCACCCUCCAAGGCUAAAUACUACCUAGUGACCGAUAGCGUAUAGUACCGUGAGGGAAAGGUGAAAAGAACCCCGGGAGGGGAGUGAAAUAGAACCUGAAACCCUGCACUUACAAGCUGUGGAAGCACAUUUCUUGUGUGACCGCGUACUUUUUGUAGAACGGGCCAACGAGUUACGUUAAGUAGCAAGGUUAAGCACUUAAGGUGCGGAGCCGUAGCGAAAGCGAGUUUUAACUGAGCGUUCAGUUACUUGACGUAGACCCGAAACCGGGCGACCUACCCAUGAGCAGGAUGAAGCGAAAGUAAAAUUUCGUGGAGGUCCGAACCCACGAGCGUUGAAAAGCUCGGGGAUGACUUGUGGGUAGCGGUGAAAUUCCAAUCGAGCCCGGAGAUAGCUGGUUCUCCCCGAAAUAGCUUUAGGGCUAGCCUCAAGGUGAGAGAUACGGAGGUAGAGCACUGAAUGUCCUAGGGGGUAUUGCACCUACCGAAG